CGAAAACGGAACGCGGAAACAGAAACAGAAACAGGAACCAAACUCAAACAGCAGAGAAAGUACGCUAAAAGCUUUCGACUAUUCAUCAGCUACAAAUUGGAUCUUGUUUCCAGUCCAGGUCGAAACUGGAAGCUUUUUGGAAGUGUCCAGCUGAUAUUGGCGAAAUCCCCUCUCUCGCUCUUAACAUCGCCGCCUUCCAAUAUCGCAGAGCGGCUCUCCCGGUUGAUGUUGGAAAUCAGUUCCUCCAACAUCGCCAAACGAAACGGAGGAACAAUGAAAACGAAAAUGAAAAGGUCUCCAGGGAGAAGAUCGCCGAAGCGGUGAAAGCAAAGGAAAACUACAUAAAGCCAGUGGCAGAUACGUAAAGUGCGGAAAAUCAGUGAUCUCGCGUGGUGAAAAAUGUCAGUGAAGUGAGGGGCAAGCAGCCCCAAAACAGAAGGUUAUGAGCCGCUUUUGUUUUUUUCUUUUAAGUUUUUUUUUUUGGUUUUUUUUAUGUGCAAGUGCAAUAAAUGUAUGUUAGCGUGCCAUACCUCUAAAAACUUCAAGACUUAUUCUUCUUUCUUUCUUUUGCUUUUCUACUAAUUCGCAAUUGGGAUCUGCAGCAGCAAACAAUGUAAACGGAUUUAAUUACAACAAAUGG